CCUACGGGAGGCAGCAGUGGGGAAUAUUGCACAAUGGGGGAAACCCUGAUGCAGCGACGCCGCGUGAGUGAAGAAGUAUUUCGGUAUGUAAAGCUCUGUCAGCAGGGAAGAAAAUGACGGUACCUGACCAAGAAGCUCCGGCUAACUACGUGCCAGCAGCCGCGGUAAUACGGAGGGGGCAAGAGUUAUCCGGAUUUACUGGGUGUAAAGGGAGCGUAGACGGGAGGGCAAGUCUGGAGUGAAAGGCGGGGGCUCAACCGCCGGACUGCACGUGAAACUGGCAGGCUGGAGUGCAGGAGAGGUAAGUGGAAUUCCUGGUGUAGCGGUGAAAUGCGUAGAGAUUAGGAGGAACACCAGUGGCGAAGGCGGCUUACUGGACUGUAACUGACGUUGAGGCUCGAAAGCGUGGGGAGCAAACAGGAUUAGAUACCCCGGUAGUC
rnacentral:rRNA from 1 species